rnacentral:rRNA from 1 species
GAUGAACGCUAGCUACAGGCUUAACACAUGCAAGUCGCGGGGCAGCAUGGGGGUUGCUUGCAAUCCCCGAUGGCGACCGGCGCACGGGUGAGUAACGCGUAUCCAACCUGCCCUUCACCACGGGAUAACCCGGCGAAAGUCGGACUAAUACCGUAUGUUGUCCAUUGACGGCAUCCGAUUUGGACGAAAGGUUUGGCGGUGAAGGAUGGGGAUGCGUCCGAUUAGCUGGACGGCGGGGUGACGGCCCACCGUGGCGACAAUCGGUAGGGGUUCUGAGAGGAAGGCCCCCCCACCUGGAACUGAGACACGGUCCAGCCUCCUACGGGAGGCAGGAGUGAGGAAUAUUGGUAAAUGGGCGUAAGCCUGAACCAGCCAAGUAGCGGGCAGGAUGACGGCCCUAUGGGUUGUAAACUGCUUUUAUGCGGGGAUAAAGGGGCCCACGUGUGGGUUUUUGCAGGUCCCGCAUGAAUAAGGACCGGCUAAUUCCGU